GACGAACGCUGGCGGCGUGCUUAACACAUGCAAGUCGAACGGAAAGGCCCUGCUUUUGUGGGGUGCUCGAGUGGCGAACGGGUGAGUAACACAUGAGUAACCUGCCCUUGACUUUGGGAUAACUUCAGGAAACUGGGGCUAAUACCGGAUAGGAGCUCCUGCUGCAUGGUGGGGGUUGGAAAGUUUCGGCGGUUGGGGAUGGACUCGCGGCUUAUCAGCUUGUUGGUGGGGUAGUGGCUUACCAAGGCUUUGACGGGUAGCCGGCCUGAGAGGGUGACCGGCCACAUUGGGACUGAGAGACGGCCCAGACUCCUACGGGAGGCAGCAGUGGGGAAUAUUGCACAAUGGGCGGAAGCCUGAUGCAGCAACGCCGCGUGCGGGAUGACGGCCUUCGGGUUGUAAACCGCUUUCGCCUGUGACGAAGCGUGAGUGACGGUAAUGGGUAAAGAAGCACCGGCUAACUACGUG
rnacentral:rRNA from 1 species